UACGGAGGGGACUAGCGUUGUUCGGAAUUAUUGGGCGUAAAGCGCACGUAGGCGGUUUUGUAAGUCAGGGGUGAAAUCCCGAGGCUCAACCUCGGAACUGCCUUUGAUACUGCAAGUCUCGAGUCCGGAAGAGGUGAGUGGAAUUCCUAGUGUAGAGGUGAAGUUCGUAGAUAUUAGGAAGAACACCAGUGGCGAAGGCGGCUACCUGGCCCACUCUUGACGCUGAGGCGCGAAAGCUAGGGGAGCAAACGGG
rnacentral:rRNA from 1 species